AAUUUUCCAGCUAGCAAUGAGGCUUCUUGGUGGCGGCCCCGGUAGGGGUCGUCAUUUGCCACAUAUCUUAGUGGCAUUGGCGGCCAUUUUGGCUGUUGCUAAUGUUGUUUCUGCUGAUCCUUAUGUAUAUGCUUCUCCACCUCCACCACCUUACGAGUACAAGUCGCCACCCCCUCCUUCUCCCUCUCCACCACCGCCUUAUGAGUACAAGUCGCCACCACCUCCUUCUCCAUCUCCUCCACCGCCAUAUGAAUACAAGUCGCCACCACCUCCUUCACCAUCACCUCCACCACCAUACUACUACUCUUCCCCACCACCUCCGAAGAAGUCACCUCCACCACCAUACUACUACUCCUCUCCACCACCACCCGAGAAGUCACCUCCUCCACCAUACUACUACUCCUCUCCUCCACCCCCGGAGAAGUCACCUCCACCACCUUACUACUACUCUUCUCCACCACCCCCCAAGAAGUCACCUCCACCUCCAUACUACUAUAGUUCUCCACCACCACCCGAGAAGUCACCUCCACCACCUUACUACUAUUCUUCUCCUCCACCACCCGAGAAGUCACCUCCACCACCAUACUACUACUACUCUCCUCCACCACCCAAGAAGUCACCUCCACCUCCAUACUACUACAGUUCUCCACCACCACCAGUUAAGUAUCCUCCUCCACCAUACUACUACCCUUCUCCACCACCACCCAAGGAAUCACCUCCUCCACCAUACUACUACUCCUCACCACCACCACCCAAGAAGUCACCCCCACCCCCAUACUACUACUCCUCUCCUCCACCACCAGUUAAAUAUCCUCCUCCACCAUACUACUACUCUUCCCCACCACCACCAGUUAAGUACCCUCCUCCACCAUAUUACUACACUUCUCCUCCACCACCUACUCCUUACUAUCCUCCUCAUCACCCCUUGAUUGUUAAGGUUGUAGGAAAAGUCUACUGCUACAGAUGUUAUGACUGGAAAUACCCAAAGAAAUCCCAUGACAAGAAGCACCUCAAAGGUAUACCACUCUUCUACACUUCAUUCCUCUCUUACAUUAUUUUUUUUUCCUUGUUUAGUACAUUUCUUCAUAACUAUAUUCUGUUAGAUAUUUGUUUGUGAAUCUUUUACUCUCUUUAUUCUUAAAAUUAUAUAUAACAUGAGACAUGCGUGAAUUUGAAGGCACCACCCUAUUCAUUUAAAUGACUUUAGGGACUUAAAUCCAACCAACAUUCUUUCUAUAUUUAUGAAGUAUAGAAAAUGAAAGUGAUAUUUCAUUUCUGUGAAAGCAAAAUCUUGUAUACAGAGUUAAUUAUAAUGGCGAGUUCUCAAAAAUAUUACUUACUAAAUAGUUUAUUAUCUUCAAGUAUGUAGUUCUACUUGCUUUAAAGAAAUAGUUCAAAAUUUGGUAACUCUUUGCUAUAUUACCCUACAAAAAGAUGAGAUAUAUUUGUCAAAAAAAGGGUUUUAAAACCAUUGAAGAAGUUUUUUACAACGAAAUCAUGAAAACGCAUCAGAAGUAAAAGUAAGAAAACAUCAUCACUUAAUUAUGCUUGCCAUACAAAAGGUAUAUUCAUUGAUUAUGCAAUUAUUUGUGGUAUUAUAUAUAUAUAUAUGAUUUUCUUUUUCAUGAUUAAACAAUUAUUAACUUGAUCUAUUAAAAAUAUAUUAUAACAAUAAUAAAAAAGUUUCAUUGAAUAUCACCAAAAUGUUGAAAAAAACAAAGAGGUAAUUGGAGACAGAUGGAUAGAUUCUUGACUUUGAAUUGCUUAUUAGCUAAUAAAGAGGAAAAGCAACAUGAAUAAGUGGAUAAUGAGCUUUUGAUCAUGUGAUGGAAUACUUAAUUUUAUAGUAAGGAAAGGACAACGUUGGUUAUUGUAGCUAGUGGGCAAAAUAAGCUAAAAAAUAUGUCUAUAUGAUCUAGUUAAUGACUCAAUUAUUAAGUACUAAUUGCAUUAUUAUCAAUUUUCACACUUGGUAUAUACUAUAUAUAUAGGUGCUGUUGUUGAGGUGACAUGCAAGGCUGGUUACAAAGAAAUCAAGAGCUAUGGUACCACUAAGAUUAAUGGCAAGUUUAGUAUUACUGUUGAAGGAUUUGAUUAUGCGAAAUAUGGAGCAGAUGCAUGCAUAGCUAAGCUUCACAAAGCACCAAAGGAUUCAAAAUGUAACAUCCCAACAAAUCUUCAUUGGGGUAUGAAGGGUGCUAGCCUCAGGGUGAAAUCAAAGGAUCAUUAUGAAGUUGUGCUCUAUGCAAAACCAUUUGCUUAUGCUCCAAAAACUCCAUAUGAAGAAUGCAUGAAGCCUAAGCCAACUCCAGCUCCUUACUACUACCAUUCUCCUCCACCACCAUCGCCGACAUACGUAUACAAGUCACCACCUCCUCCAUCACCCAAAUACGUGUACAAAUCACCACCUCCUCCAUCACCUAAAUACGUGUACAAGUCGCCACCCCCUCCAUCACCUGAAUAUGUGUACAAGUCCCCACCCCCUCCAACCCCAACUUACGUGUACAAGUCACCACCACCUCCAUCACCUGAAUACGUAUACAAGUCCCCACCACCUCCAUCACCGAAGUACGUGUAUAAAUCCCCCCCACCGCCACCAUACUACUACAAGUCCCCCCCACCUCCAUCACCUGAGUACGUAUACAAGUCUCCCCCACCUCCAUCCCCAAAGUACGUGUACAAGUCCCCGCCCCCUCCAUCACCUGAAUACGGGGACAAGUCCCCACCACCUCCCUCACCCGAAUACGUGUACAAGCCCCCACCCCCUCCAUCACCUGAAUACGGGGACAAGUCCCCACCACCUCCCUCACCCGAAUACGUGUACAAGCCCCCACCCCCUCCAUCACCUGAAUACGGGGACAAGUCCCCACCACCUCCCUCACCCGAAUACGUGUACAAGCCCCCACCCCCUCCAUCACCUGAAUACGGGGACAAGUCCCCACCACCUCCCUCACCCGAAUACGUGUACAAGCCCCCACCCCCUCCAUCACCUGAAUACGGGGACAAGUCCCCACCACCUCCCUCACCCGAAUACGUGUACAAGCCCCCACCCCCUCCAUCACCUGAAUACGGGGACAAGUCCCCACCACCUCCCUCACCCGAAUACGUGUACAAGCCCCCACCCCCUCCAUCACCUGAAUACGGGGACAAGUCCCCACCACCUCCCUCACCCGAAUACGUGUACAAGCCCCCACCCCCUCCAUCACCUGAAUACGGGGACAAGUCCCCACCACCUCCCUCACCCGAAUACGUGUACAAGCCCCCACCCCCUCCAUCACCUGAAUACGGGGACAAGUCCCCACCACCUCCCUCACCCGAAUACGUGUACAAGCCCCCACCCCCUCCAUCACCUGAAUACGGGGACAAGUCCCCACCACCUCCCUCACCCGAAUACGUGUACAAGCCCCCACCCCCUCCAUCACCUGAAUACGGGGACAAGUCCCCACCACCUCCCUCACCCGAAUACGUGUACAAGCCCCCACCCCCUCCAUCACCUGAAUACGGGGACAAGUCCCCACCACCUCCCUCACCCGAAUACGUGUACAAGCCCCCACCCCCUCCAUCACCUGAAUACGGGGACAAGUCCCCACCACCUCCCUCACCCGAAUACGUGUACAAGCCCCCACCCCCUCCAUCACCUGAAUACGUAUACAAGUCUCCACCACCUCCAUCACCGAAGUACGUGUAUAAAUCCCCACCACCGCCACCAUACUACUACAAUUCUCCUCCACCACCGUCGCCAUCUCCUCCUCCACCAUACUACUACAAGUCUCCACCACCACCGGAACCAUCUCCUCCACCACCAUACUACUACAAGUCUCCUCCCCCACCAUCACCGUCUCCUCCUCCACCAUACUACUACAAAUCCCCACCACCACCAUCCCCAUCGCCUCCUCCACCAUACUACUACAAGUCCCCACCACCACCAUCUCCAUCACCCCCACCUCCAUACUACUACAAAUCCCCACCUCCACCGUCACCGUCUCCUCCUCCACCAUACUACUACAAAUCACCACCACCCCCAUCACCAUCACCGCCACCUCCUUACUACUACCACUCUCCACCACCCCCAUCACCAUCACCCCCACCUCCUUACUACUACCACUCUCCACCACCACCAUCACCAUCUCCCCCUCCUCCUUACUACUAUCACUCCCCACCACCACCAUCACCAUCUCCCCCACCUCCUUACUACUACCACUCCCCACCUCCACCCGUGAAGUCUCCUCCUCCUCCAUACUACUACAACUCACCUCCCCCACCCGUAAAAUCACCUCCGCCUCCAGUAUACAUCUACACUUCUCCACCACCACCAGUCCACUACUAAGCAGUUUGAAAAGCUUCGUCAUUUUCCACAACCACUCAA
rnacentral:lncRNA from 1 species